rnacentral:lncRNA from 1 species
UGGCCCAGUAGUUUCAGAGAAGAAGAUUUUUGUAAAAGAUUACUAAGAUUAACGAAAAAAUGGUUAAAAAUUGACUAUAAAGGGUAAUAACUCCUUCAGGGGUCAACUGACCAUUUUGGUCAUGCUGACUUAUUUGUAAAUCUUACUUUGCUGAACAUUAUUGCUGUUUACAGUUUAUCUCUAUCUAUAAUAAUAUUCAAGAUAAUAACCAAAAACAGCAAAAUUUCCUUAAAAUUACCAAUUUAGGGGCAGCAACCCAACAACAGGUUGUCCGAUUCAUCUAAAAAUUUCAGGACAGAUAGAUCUUGACCUGAUAAACACUUUUACCGCAUGUCAGAUUUGCUCUAAAUGCUUUGGUUUUUGAGUUAUAAGCCAAAAACUGCAUUUUACCCCUAUGUUCUAUUUUUAGCCAUGGUGGCCAUCUUGGUUGGUUGGCCGGGUCACACCACACAUUUUUUAAACUAGAUAUCCCAAAGAUGAUUGUGGCCAAGUUUGGAUUAAUUUGGCCUAGUAGUUUCAGAGGAGAAGAUUUUUGUAAAGAUUACUAAGAUUUACGAAAAAUGGUUAAAAAUUGACUAUAAAGGUCAAUAACUCCUAAAGGGGUCAACUGACCAUUUUGGUCGUGUUGACUUAUUUGUAAAUCUUACUUUUCUGAACAUUAUUGCUGUUUACAGUUUAUCUCUAUCUAUAAUAAUAUUCAAGAUAAUAGCCAAAAACAGCAAAAAUUCCCUAAAAUCACCAG